CGGUUCAAGUUCCUGGUAAGAGCCAUAGGUGCCCAAUUGUCGUCGACUUUCAGAAGCACCAUACUUUCCCUCUGAAACCGAUCAAUGAAAUCUCGGAGUGACUCUGUCCUUCUUUAUACGAUUUUGAAGAUAUAUUCCACCUUUUGUGCUCUGGACUAGGCUUUGAUAAAAGCAUCUGCAAGUUCAACAAAAGAAUUGAUAAAAUGUUCAAGUAAAUGUUUGUAUCAUGUUAAAGUCCCUUUGGCCAAAGUCUCCCCAAAUCUUUUGAUAAGCAUCAAUCUGAUCUCCUUCUUUAUGAGGGAGUUCCCUUUGAUCCUGGUCAUCCCUGGUACCGUCUUAUUUCAAAAUUUCUAGCAUUUUUAAUUUCUUCAAAAUCGACAACGAAGUCGCACUAGGCUUCCAUGGUUAUUGGGAAUAUUUAUCCACGUCAAUCCCUUUUACGACAGACAGGACUCCUAGGAUCUGCUCAAUCCUCUCCUUUUGUUCCUUAAGCUAUUGCUGAAAGGUUAGAAUUAUAUUUUGUAACUUAGCAUUUACAAUCACAUAUGAACCUCCGGAUUCGUCUUUGUUUUAAUGUUCUCGAGCUGCUGUGUGCAGCAUUUUGGAAUUAGGGGUUUGUUCUCGGUGGCGGAGUAGGUGUUACAAUAGUUGCUCCGCUCGUUAAGGCCAACAAUGCUUCUUUGCAUUUGGCGUUCGGCUUAUGUUCCUUCAUCAUAAAAAAUUUCACCAUCUCCUCCAAACCACAAUCAUUAGGGCGGCUGCUAGUGGAUCAUAUCUGGGUCAUUGAUAAGUUGGUAUUUUACCAACUUAUCUCUUCUUUAUACUUAGCUUUUGUAUGAUUUUGUUGAGAAACUAAGGCAUUUAUUGAGGUUUAUUGGCACAUUUCAGGUAUCAAGUGAUUAAGAGAAGAUACAAAAGAAAACAAGUCAAAAUGUGUUAAAAAGGGAAAAAUUAACUGCUGCCAGUGAAUGCUUUUCGUGAUCGCGGAGAAUUCCAUGCGGUCGCGUAAUUUUAGCAGUUAAGCCAUCGCAAAUGCAGUAGAAGUCAUGCGACCGCGAAGAAGUAAAGCUGGACAACCACUUGUCAAACUUUCUACGCGAACGCGUAUCUUGCUCGGCGAUUGUGUAGCUUUGCAGAAGUUGGUCACCACAAUUGCGGUUCUUGUUUCGCGAUCACAUAGCACAUUAAAUGGACAGAUUCCAGGCAGAAAUGAAAUUUCACGUUUUUGAUCCCCAAGCUAUUCAAUACAUGACCUAGCUUAUUAGAAAUACAUCUUUGGCUUAUUUUUCAGUAUCUUCACUAAGAGAAACAAUCUUGGGAGCUAGGGUCUAACACACACACUUGGGACUUGAAGAUUUGAAGCUCUUGGCUGAGAAUUUCUUAUCCAUUUAUGUUCAUUUCUUUAUAUCCAUGCUUUGUAUUGAAUAUUUAAGUGUGUAGUAUUUUUUUCAAUGAUUGAAUCUUGUUUAUAGGACUAUUCAUAUUUAAAGUGUAGAUUAAAUAUCUUGUUGUGCUUAUGUAUUGAAUGAUUUUUGUAAAUAUUGAAGUGAGUUUAUAUUUCUUUAA
rnacentral:lncRNA from 1 species